CUGUAGAUAUAAGUAGAGAUCGAGUGGCAAAGAAACCAAGCUGUUCUAAAUGAUUACUUCGGCUUUUUCAUUUAAGUAUUUGGGAUCAGCUUGAUGUACUUAGAUUUAUUUAUUGAUGAGUCAGGCUUAGUAAGUGUUUUUGUAAGUACUGAUUUUACAUGAUUUUCUCACAUCCUUAGUCUUGAAGAAAAUAGCAGAGAUCCAUACCAAUCACAAAGAGAAUGCUUUUGGUUUUUUUUGUUUGUUUCAAGAUUGAUAAGCUUACUUAGUUUGUCUCACGAGAAGUUUCUUGCAUGUGCAACUGUUGUCUUUUUGUACACCUUCACAAGUCAGUUAGUUCUUCCCUCAAUAUCCAAUACUGAAGGGAGAAUUACUGUCUUACACGAGACACCUCUUAUGAACAAGCUAUGAAUGUCAUCUAACAAACUAGAGGUGGAUGACAUUUGGGCCCUGAGAAAAAUGUAGGGAACUUGUUCUAUGCAGUUUUAGAGUCAGCUAUCAAAGUGACAAAAAAAAUAAAGGACAUGUGAUAAUGAGAGAUCAUAAGGGUUUUAUCACUAAUCUGGCCUAGACAAGCUGAGAGGAG
rnacentral:lncRNA from 1 species